rnacentral:rRNA from 1 species
GAUGAACGCUGGCGGCGUGCUUAACACAUGCAAGUCGAGCGAUGAAGUUUUCUUCGGGAAACGGAUUAGCGGCGGACGGGUGAGUAACACGUGGGUAACCUGCCUCAUAGAGUGGAAUAGCCUUUCGAAAGGAAGAUUAAUACCGCAUAAUGUUGAAAGAUGGCAUCAUCAUUCAACCAAAGGAGCAAUCUGCUAUGAGAUGGACCCGCGGCGCAUUAGCUAGUUGGUGGGGUAACGGCCUACCAAGGCGACGAUGCGUAGCCGACCGGAGAGGGGGAUCGGCCACAUUGGGACUGAGACACGGCCCAGACUCCUACGGGAGGCAGCAGUGGGGAAUAUUGCACAAUGGGGGAAACCCUGAUGCAGCAACGCCGCGUGAGUGAUGAAGGUUUUCGGAUCGUAAAGCUCUGUCUUUGGGGAAGAUAAUGACGGUACCCAAGGAGGAAGCCACGGCUAACUACGUGCCAGCCGCCGCGGUAAAAC